CAUGCUCAGACAAAUAGGGGCCCUUUAAAGUUUAAAUACCCCACGUAUUUUAGCGUAUUUCCCCAAAAUACUCCAUCACUAUGUUGCCAUAUGUUUGGGGAUGCUCUGGUGGUGUUUUAGGGAUUUUCGAUAUUUUUCGAUACCAUGGCCACCGGACGGUCCCCUUAAGAACUGAGUCCCAAGUAUAGGAGAGAGGAUGACCUCACCCCUAAGAACAACUUUCACUCCCCAAGACACACACCAGUACAAACCCAAAACUUACAAGGCAGAGGCCAUAUCCUGAGGUGGGUGCAGCACUUGUAUCCCAUGAUUGAGGGACAAAGCCAGAGGAGUGAGAGGAGCAUAAUAGCUUUCGCCCUGAGAAUGGUCCAAGAACCUCGAACCCCACAGCAGAGAAUACAUAGAACCAUAUAUAUAAGGAACCCAAAAGAAAACUUAAUGAAUUACCCUGAGAGCCAAAACAACAGGGCCCAGAGAAAAGGUAUCCAAAUACCUAUGAGUAAUAUCCAUGAGAUAAAAAGAAGCAAAAGUGGACAUACUCUUCCAGGUUCCUGCUCGAAGAACGGCAGGAAUAUUCCGAAUUUUCCUGAACAAGGCACUCGUCGCCACUGCUCUAACUUCAUGUUCCUUCACCUGAACCAAGCGUAUUUCCUCCUCAGACACAUCUACAUGCGCACACUGGAUAACCUGACAUAUCCAGUGGGAAAUAGUAUGAGGAUGCACUACAUGCCAAGGCUCAGAAUCUGUCACAAAAAAGCGGGAACAUCUAGGACAACAGUCCCUGGUUCUGCGAAGGUACUCCCUGAUGGCUCUAACUGGGCACUCUGAAAGAGCAGGAAUGGUGAAGUCGGACUGCAAUACAUCAACUGGGAGUUGAGUCUUCGCUAGAAAAUCCGAGGCUAAAGAGAAAGUCAUAGAAGCCCAACCCUUUGAGUGACGAACUUCCACAGCAGAUGCUAAAGCCAAGAGAAAGGAGGACUUCAGUGCAACGUCCCUCAAAGAAGCCAAACGCAGAGGCUCAUAAGGGGACUUUAUUAAUGAGCGUAAAACUUAAGGAUAAAUCCCACGCAGGAACGCGUAGUGAACGAGGGGGAGCCAACUUGGCAAACCCCCGAAACAGAGCUGACAGAUCCUUAUCUUGUGAGAUAUUCAAGCCAGCCUACUGGAAAACGGGGUCCAAAGCAGAACGAUAGCCCCUAAUGGACGGUAAGGACAAAUGUUUAGUGUCCCAAAGAAAAAUUAAAGUCUGUUAAAUCCAUCACAGAUGUCAAGAGAGGAUGACAACCCCUCAACUUACACCACCCACAGAAGACAGACCACUUUGCCUGAUUGACUCUGGCAGAGGACUGUCUGACCGGACGUGGGGUCAUAAAUCUAGCAGCCUUCCGUGAAAAGCCUCUCUUUCGGAAGAGAUGCUGGAGAGUCUCCACGUGUGAAGGUGAAGAACCCCUGGCUACUUGUGAAAGAGGUGGCGAUGAGGCUGGCGGAGCAGAGAGGCCCAUUGUAGCAACACUUGAGGAGACUCAGAAGCAGAGGAAACCAGUCUGCCUGGUGCCACCGCAGGGCAGAGUCAUGCGAACACAAGCGGAAUCUCUGACUCGAACUAGCACCCGCUGAAUCAGAGAGAAGGGAGGAAAGGCAUAUAGAUCCAAGCCUUCCCAUGGAAAGGCAAAAGCAUCCUCUUUUCAAGCUCCUGGAUUGGGCAGGGGAGGUACAUAAAGAGGUAACUGGUGAUUUAAGGCAGUGGCAAACCUGUGGUGCACCCCACACCUAGAAGACCUGCCUGCACACUGCAGGAUGCAGGGUCCACUCUGACCCCACACACUCAUGACUGAGGACAUCUGCUACUGCAUUGCACCGUCCUGGCACAAACCUUGGGAGAAGAAAGACUGAAUUGUCCUCGCACCACCGGAGAAUGUCCCCCGCCAGACCCGAGAGAGACUCGGACCGGAUGCCCCCAGAGUUUCUCAAAUAGGCCACCACUGUCGAAUUGUCUGACAUGAGAGACACCACUGUGCCUGAGACUUCCUGCUGAAAGGACUGCAGAGCCCAGAAAACAGCCAUCAUCUCCAGGUGGUUGAUGUGAAACCUCCGCUCCUGAGGAGACCACACCCCCGAGACUAGAGAGUCCCCCAGAUGAGCACCCCAACUGUGAAGGGAUGCAUCAGAAAACAGAGACUGUUCCGGAGGUGCCAUCACAAAGGGAGCUCCCUUGAUUAGAUGACCUGGAUCCAUCCACCAGGAGAGGUCUGCCAGACACCACUGUGAAGGAGGAACCUGCCAUGAAGGAGGGUCCGACGCUGCCUUCCAAUGAUUUUUCAGGCACCACUGAGGGGGCCGAGAGCGUACCCGGCCACCUGGGACAAGCCUCUCCAGGGAAGCGAGAUGACCCAGGAAUGACCUCCAUAGACACACUGUAGGGGCUCUGUCCUCUAAAAAAUUCUGCACCACUGAGAGAAACCGGCUGAUCCUUUCUGGCAACUGAAAAACCAGAGUUCUUACUGAAUCCAGCACCAUGCCCAGGUACUGCUUCCUUUGGCUGGGUACCAGGUCUGAUUUGGGCAGAUUGAUCUGAAUACCCAAGUGAGCACACAGCUGUAACACAUCCUGGAUGGCGCCUAUGCAUCCCUGGAGAGUCGUCCCUGUGACCAACCAAUUGUCCAGCUAACAGCGCAGGAAGAUAUUGUGUCGAUGAGCCCAUGAAGACACUGGAGCCAUCACUUUGGUGAAGACCUGUGGGAUGGUGGCGAAGCCAAAACAAAGAACUUUAAACUGAAAAACCUUGCUCUACACAAGGCACAUGAGUCUGGUUGACCAGCAUGGGAGUCUUGUGGCUGGUACCAACACUCACACUCUGGGAAUGGAGAAGUCCAUCAGACAUAAUAGUACUAAGCUCCACCCCCAAAGUACGUGGAAUGGUCUCACUUACGCCUAAUCCACGUGAUGGGAUGAUAGGCUGGUCGCCAGGCAUGGGAGCCGUAUGGCAGACGCUAACCUCAACAUCCUGGAAAGGAGUCUGGCUGCCAGGCAUGGGAGCUGUAUGGCAGAUGCCGACCUCCAUUUCCUGGGUAGUGAGGCAGCCGCCGGGCAUGGUAGACCGAUGGCUGUCACUAACCCCACCCCCAUAAACACUGCCAGAGGUACCAGGAGCACUGGGCAUUUCCUUAUCUGAACCACGAAUAAAGCCAUGGGAGGGGAUAAGAGGCUGGCCGCCAGGCAUGGGAGCCGUAUGGCAGACGCCACCAUCAAUAUCCCGGAUAGGAAUCUGGCUGCCAGGCAUGGGAGCUGUAUGGCAAUUAUUGACCUCCAUAUCCCAGGUAGUGGGGCGGCCGCUGGGCAUGGUAGACCAAUGGCUGUCACCAAUCCCACCCCUAUAAACAGUGCAAAACGUAUCCAGGGCACCGUAUACUACCUUACCUGCGCCAGGAACCACGGCAUGGCAGCCACCUGUUAUAUUUGCGUCUGCAGCAGAUGCUGGUACCAUCUCAACCUCGUGACUGCGACCAGCUGUCCCCGCUUGCCCUGGCCUCUGCACAGCCCCACUUGUACCCAGCUGGGAAUUGUCUACCUAUGAAACCGGAGACUGGAAACCAGAGAAGGGGGAACCCCGUGAAGAGGAAAGAAAGAGGGAAAGCUGACCCAACGUCUCCUCCAUCUUACACAUGCGUUUAUGCAGCUGCUGAGACGAAGGGAAAGACUUACGCUUACCAGAAGACUAAGCCUUCCUCCUCUCAGUACAAUCUUUAAUACUAUCCAAAAGACAUUAGAAACUGGUCGUGUGACAAGGCCUUGCAGCAAUCACAAUGGGAAGUAAGGCUACAAAACACCUCCCUAUAUGACAGACACUCCCCAUGAGGGUCCACCAUGAGACGGGAGGGAACGAGAACAUUUCACACACUUACGUGGCAUAAUAACACACUCACAACUCCUGGUAGAAGAAAAACAAACCAAGAAGCGACGAAAGACAAACCAACCACUGUUGAAAAGAAAAAACAACAAUGGGCCGGUGAAAGAGAUGAGCUUUAGACUACGUGUAAGCCCUGUGACAGCAAAGAGGCGAAUGAGGGAAUUGGCCUGAUGGCUGAUAACUGGAAAUAGAAAAUGGGCAGGAUGUCUUUGCAAAGAAAACAAGUAAGGGGACCAAGUAUUUCUUUCAUUUCUUUCCUUGAGCUGUUAGACAUGAUGUAAGUUUGCUGUGGGAAUGAAGGUUUAAGCAAUAAUUAUUAAUUAUGGGUAGUAGUAUGUGUAAUAACAAAUUAGUUAUAUUUUAUGUUGGUCAGACUGCAGCUAGAUUAUGCUGUGCAGUUCUGGUCCCCACAUUAUAGGAAGGAUAUAGAUCUAUUAGAAUCAGUGCAAAAGAUAAUGUUUAAAAGGAUACGGGAUGAGGGAUAUUAUUCCCUUUGAAGCGAGAUUGGAGAUACUAAAUGUGCAUUCCUUAGAGAGACGUAGGUUAAGAGAGGGCCUGUAGAAGUAUUUAAGUGGUUUAUGACAAAGGGGUCAUGAGCAAAAUUCUUAGGAUCAAUAACCAGGAUAGAACCAGAAAUAAUUGGUACAAGUUUGAAAAAUUUAGGUUUAAAAAAGAAAUGGGAAGGAACUGGUUAUCUAACAGAGUGGUUGAUGAAUGAAACACUCAUUAAUCAUGUUGCUAGUGUUGAGUCAAUUAGAAGCUUUAAAAAGAAUACAGAGUUAUGGAUGGAGAUGAUAAAGUGGAUUUUGGUAGUUUUCUUCUCACAGGAACUGCCACUGCAGUUUCUUGUUUUUUUUUUUUUUUUUUUUUUCUAAUUGCCUUUAUUCCAGGUUGAUAAUGUUUAAUGGCACAUAGAUCUUCACAUUCUUACCUUUUCCUCCUUUUUUUUAGUAGUAUAGUACAAUGAUAGCUGAUAUAUCUCACCCCUUGCAUUUGCUGUCUUCUCUUAAUUGUAUUAUGAAUGCUAUAAAUUUAUAUAUAGUUUAGGUUUCAAAGUUAUUAAUCCAGUCAUAUGAACAAUGAGCCAAUUAUUCUAGUGAGUAUUAGCACUUUGAUGUUGGUUACAAGUGAGGAAAUUGCCAUCGAUGGAGAAUGUUAUUUAACAGUCAUGAAUGAUGAUUAAUUUUGCAGAUGGUGGUGGUGGUCCUGUCAUAUUGGAAGUGCUGUCAUCAAAUGUCCCAGGAGAGGUCAUCAGUGAAGUUAAUAUCAGUACUAGUCCUUCUCUCAGUAAGUGGCAGAAAAUCAUUCAGUUGGUCACCAAGGUCCAUGAUCCUCUGACCAGCAACUUGUAAUGGCCAAGACAUAAGGAAAGACCCAUACACCAGUGGCGCCAGCAGGGUUGGCCUGGGGUGGCAGCGGCCACCCCACUGGCCAGUCACAAAUAUCGGUUGAAAAUAUCGAUUGCCAAUUUUAUUUAUUUUUUUUACAGUGUUGCCAGUGCUUGAAAAAUUAACUCUAACCUUUAAAAGCAUGAAAGAAAAGUCUAAAUCCCAAAAAUCUUGAAAAAUCUACACCAACUGUAUGAAAUGUUCCCAAAAAUCUUGAAAAAUCUACACCAACUGUAUGAAAUGUUAGAGAGAGAGGGGAGGUGGUGCUGGCUCAGCUGAUGGCCUUACGUGUACAAUACACAUGGUAAUGUAACAUCACAGCAGUUGAGCAAACAUCGUCUGUGCGUCACCUUCCAGUACAUUCUUCUGCUUUGCUCUGCUGGUAAGUGUAUCCUACUAAAAUGAAACUUAAGCAUUAAUUAAUCAUAUUAAUCUUUACUGAUAUAUUUUCACCCUCUGGCAUUGUGCAUUAUUAUUCACUUAAAGACACUCAAAUAUUAUUUAUGUCCCACGAGAAAAUAGUAAAGCUGAGUGUGCCAUUCCAGGUGUGGUGUUGAGUAAAUUGAGUAAUCUAGCUGAUGAGAGGGGCAAAAAAAUGCCACAGUAGGUGGGGUCAUUGGGAUGUACUUGUAAGUAUAAUGAUUCUUAUGGAGCUACGGUCAGCUAUCAUUAGAUUGGAAACGCUAUAGUGUCAGGGACAAAGUGGACAGUACUUAUAGGUUUGCCAAAAAACACAGCAACUGGCGAAUAAUGUUGUUCUGAAAAUGCAAUUGCAGCACUGAGGAUCUGCAACAGGAGAAUAAAGUUGUAAUAAUAGUACUAGUAAAAUAAAAUUCCUGAAAUUA